rnacentral:rRNA from 1 species
AUUGAACGCUGGCGGCAGGCCUAACACAUGCAAGUCGAACGGUAACAGGUAGCCGCUUGCUGCUUUGCUGACGAGUGGCGGACGGGUGAGUAAUGUCUGGGAAACUGCCCGAUGGAGGGGGAUAACUACUGGAAACGGUAGCUAAUACCGCAUAACGUCGCAAGACCAAAGAGGGGGACCUUAGGGCCUCUUGCCAUCGGAUGUGCCCAGAUGGGAUUAGCUAGUAGGUGGGGUAACGGCUCACCUAGGCGACGAUCCCUAGCUGGUCUGAGAGGAUGACCAGCCACACUGGAACUGAGACACGGUCCAGACUCCUACGGGAGGCAGCAGUGGGGAAUAUUGCACAAUGGGCGCAAGCCUGAUGCAGCCAUGCCGCGUGUAUGAAGAAGGCCUUCGGGUUGUAAAGUACUUUCAGCGGGGAGGAAGGGAGUAAAGUUAAUACCUUUGCUCAUUGACGUUACCCGCAGAAGAAGCACCGGCUAACUCCGUG